rnacentral:rRNA from 1 species
AAUGCCGGAUGCUCCAGUUGAUCGCAUGGUCUUCUGGGAAAGCUUUCGCGGUAUGGGAUGGGGUCGCGUCCUAUCAGCUUGACGGCGGGGUAACGGCCCACCGUGGCUUCGACGGGUAGCCGGCCUGAGAGGGCGACCGGCCACAUUGGGACUGAGAUACGGCCCAGACUCCUACGGGAGGCAGCAGUGGGGAAUAUUGCACAAUGGGCGCAAGCCUGAUGCAGCGACGCCGCGUGAGGGAUGGAGGCCUUCGGGUUGUAAACCUCUUUUAUCGGGGAGCAAGCGAGAGUGAGUUUACCCGUUGAAUAAGCACCGGCUAACUACGUGCCAGCAGCCGCGGUAAUACGUAGGGUGCAAGCGUUAUCCGGAAUUAUUGGGCGUAAAGGGCUCGUAGGCGGUUCGUCGCGUCCGGUGUGAAAGUCCAUCGCUUAACGGUGGAUCCGCGCCGGGUACGGGCGGGCUUGAGUGCGGUAGGGGAGACUGGAAUUCCCGGUGUAACGGUGGAAUGUGUAGAUAUCGGGAAA